CACUGAGUCCCUUUCAAGCAAUGGCCAGCACCUGGAUUACUGAUUGCAGAUUGAGAGAAAAAGGGGGAUAUUUACCCUCAGAGAAGCGGCAAGUCUGUCCAAGUAACAAUGGGAAAAUGUUAUGUAUCCAAAGGCUCAGGUAAUUAAAUCCCAUACUAACCCUUUCAGUGCUAGUCCCUGGGAUCUGCAAGAUCACUAGAUCAUCACCCUGCUCUACCUUUAACAGUGACCCUCUCCAUCCAACAACUAGGAUGGCUAUAUUAUAUAUAAAUAAAUAAAACAUUAUUAACUAGAUUCACCAUUUUAGUUACCAUGGUUUAGAUUUUAAUUUAAAAUGAAUGAAUGAACGAACGCCAAGUAUAAAUAAAAUCUAUAGACACACAUCAAUCAUUUCUGCAUUAAAUGUUUCAGAUAACCUAAAAUGCCCACCUCCCCUGUCAGUCUCUCCUUGUGUCCCCUCUGUCUGUGUCAGCUUGACCUGUUACAUUUAAAUAUUUUAUUGCCUAAUUUAUUGGAAUAUUUAUAUUGCUAGUUUGAGGAGAUGAAAUAUUUAAUGGUAAAAAAUAAAUAAACUCUUACAAAUUCUUGUUUCAUGCUAUCCUCCAUUGAAAUCCACAAAGCGGUGCCAAUCAUAAAAGUUAUUCAUUAAAAAACAAUUCAUUCCCUGUUACAAUAAAAUGAUGUGUUGCUUGAAAUGGUUAUAUUAAUUCUUAGUAAUCUAGUAUUGAUUGUUUAUUUACUAAACAUCGAGUUUGGGCAAAUUUAGAAUCGAUCUAUUUAGUAUAGAAGAUGGGAGGGGAAAAAAAAUCUCCAAUUUAACAGAAUUGGACAAAAAAAAAACCCAUUAAUUUCUGUAAUCUUGGUUAAAAUCCUGCUAAUUAUGUGUCAGUUCACCUCAUCUUGCUGUUUAGUAGACAGACCCCAGAAAGACAUUUUUUUUUAAUAAAAACAGCAAAAACUACAGAUAAAAAAUGGGCGAUAAAACAGAAUCCAGGUCAGUAAUUCUAAAAAGGUAUAAAGGAAGGAAGUUUGAUCCCAGCCCUAACAGGUUAAUCCAGCCACAUGCCAGCAAUGAAGGGGUGUCUGAGUUAAUUCCAGGCUCUGUGGUUCCCCUCACUGUUUAUACAUGUUUGCCUGUAUCUGUGUCUGAUUAUUGGGAGGGAAAUGAACAAAGUUACUUUUUUUUUUCUCCAAAAGAUGCAAACAAUUCGGUGAAAUCAUAUGCCAGAGGAUUUUUUUUCCACGCAAAAGAUAUACAUCAUUAGAAAGCAAUAAUUGAGGGAAAAGUAUUAUUUUCAUGGAUAGAACAUCGUGUGACUGGGAAGGAAAUGGUUGUGUUUAAUGUAAUAAGGAAAAAGAAAAACAAGUUUCGAAUUUGCAGUCAGUAACAAAAAAACAAAUUCACUGUAAAAAGGCAUCUGGACUGGAAUAUAUCUGUAUUUUAUAUACUAUGUGUUAUAUAUCAUAGCUUGUACCUGUGUG